rnacentral:rRNA from 1 species
GGGUCAGUAGGUUGGUCGUGCCACCGGUACGUACUGGUCUCACUGGUUCCUCCUUCCUGAAGAACCGUAAUGCCAUUAAUUUGGUGUUGCGGGGAAACAGGACUGUUACUUUGAAAAAAUUAGAGUGUUUAAAGCAAGCUAACGCUUGAAUACAUUAGCAUGGAAUAAUGAAAUAGGACGAUCGAUCCUAUUUUGUUGGUUUCUAGGAUUGACAUA